rnacentral:rRNA from 1 species
AUUGAACGCUGGCGGCAGGCCUAACACAUGCAAGUCGAGCGGAGCGGCGGACGGGUGAGUAAUGCCUAGGAAUCUGCCUGGUAGUGGGGGAUAACGUCCGGAAACGGGCGCUAAUACCGCAUACUAUCAGAUGAGCCUAGGUCGGAUUAGCUGGUUGGCGGGGUAAAGGCCCACAAAGGCGACGAUCAGUAGCGGGUCUGAGAGGAUGAUCCGCCACACUGGGACUGAGACACGGCCCAGACUCCUACGGGAGGCAGCAGUGUGGAAUUUUGGACAAUGAGCGCAAGCCUGAUCCAGCCAUGCCGCGUGUCUGAAGAAGGCCUUCGGGUUGUAAAGGACUUUUGUCAGGGAAGCGGUACCUGAAGAAUAAGCACCGGCUAACUACGUGCCAGCAGCCGCGGUAAUAC